rnacentral:rRNA from 1 species
CGCACAUUAAAGUUNUUGCAGUUAAAAAGCUCGUAGUUGGAUUUGUGGCGUGUGGUGUGUUCCGGGCACUUGUUGUCUGAGUAACCUGCUGUUGCCAUCCUUGGGUGGAACCUGUGUGGCAUUAGGUUGUCGUGCAGGGGAUGCCCAUCAUUUACUGUGAAAAAAUUAGAGUGUUCAAAGCAGGCUUAUGCCGUUGAAUAUAUUAGCAUGGAAUAAUGAGAUAGGACUUUUUUACUAUUUUGUUGGNUUGCGUAAAGAGGUAAUGAUUAAUAGGGACAGUUGGGGG